rnacentral:lncRNA from 1 species
UCAAACUACAGAUAACAAAAACCCCAACAACUGAACCAGUUAUGAUAAACAGUACAGGCUUCUUUUUUGGCUCACUUCCCCCUAGUUCCAAGCCUGGUUCUGUGAUGAACUCCAUUAUUUCGAGCCCGUUCAGGUAGGCAAUUUUUUCUAAGGAUCCGUCCAAAGUGACAACACUGAUACUAAUAAAGUCAGAAUCACCUGAGUCAACCACAAAAUCAUAGUAGAAUGGAACUGCUGUCUGAACAGUAUACUCGUAAGGAUUGAUAUUUUGACUGAACCUACCGUAUAUAAAGAGAUUGAAAUUGAAAACGUUAGGUGAUGGACUAAUAAUGUCACAGAAAUGGACCCGAACAAGAUGCCGAGCAUUCUUGCUGACGUUGAAAUGCCAAGUAAUGUUGGCAGAAUUUGAUGUCUGGUUAUUAGUUAGGUCCACUUCUUUGCAAGUUUUGUAGACAAGAUCGGGGACAAAGUUUUGGAAGGCUCCUAUAUUAUCAUCAUAGUUUAGUCUACCAGAAAAAUAGCUACAAUUUUUUGCCAAAUUUCCAACAAAUAUAUAGUCAUCAUCAGCAACCCAUUCUGAUGCUAUUGCGGUUGGGUCGUUAAGGGGUCGACCCCCAACAUUAACUCUCUGAACUGUUCUAAGCACCUGAGAGGGCAAACCUAGGUAAUUACCCGGACUUCCUGCCGUAGUCACAAGAGUUCGGUCAUCCACAAGAUCUGGAAUAAGAAAAACUUCUAUAGCAUUCACAAAAGCAAAAGAUGUUUGUUGUGCCGGGAUGAAGUGAAUUCUAAAGCUGGUUGAAUUGAUAGGCACCCAGAAAUCCUUAAUCACAGGGAAAGAACUAUUUCUGACACUGAAAUUCGAUACUAGAGACUUACGGGAAGCUGAAACAUUGAAUAAAGCAUCCACCAGAUUAACCUGGCCUGACAUGAAAGGAAAGAAAUGAAGGCGUACCACGUGUAGGCCUGUCUUAGUGAUGUUGAGAUUAUAAGAAAAUGGGCUUGUAUGAAACCUUGCUGUUUGGUAGAGAGAUAAGCCGACUGACUGGCUGGUAUCUUCGACAGGUUUGCCUUUUUCAACGCGGAAGGAGUUGGGAUUCUUGUCACCAACGAAGUUCCUGCUGCCUAGUUUCACAGAAGAAGACGACCCGCAGUUUAUGAAGUAUUUAUCUGGAAAAACGUAAGGUUCUGAGAGAAUCAGAUCAGGAUAGAAUUGGAGAAGAAACGAAGGCAAGAGAACGUUAAGGAAGAGCAGUUUUUCCAUUGGAACGGCCUUCCUCUUUUUCCUGUUUUUUUCCCUUGUCUAGUGGAAGUAAUUAAGUAUAUAUCUCAGCACUAAGGAGUAAGGACCAGUUUUAAUGAAUGAUAAUAAUGAGCAAGGAAGGUGCAGAUGGAAAGGGAAGACUUUGGUUGACCUGAUAAUCAAGUGUGGAUGUAUUCUGCUUGAGAAAAAUAAUUGAGCUCCUCUGAUGUUGCCAAGCAGAAUAGUUUCUAAAAGGCAAUAUCUAUUUCUUGGCAUGUCAAUUCUGAUCACGGCAUUUACUCCUAUUUGUUUCCCCUUUUGUCCCAGAACCAACGUUUCUGACUUUUCUUAGUUCAGCGACAGUUACUUGGUUAACCAUGAACUUCUUUGAUAAUCAUGUGUUAGAAAUUAUGUGCAAACAAGUAAAAAUGAGUCAGUCAAGUCAAAGAUGCAUCUGUCUUAAAAGUUCAAGCAGGGGACUCUAUGCUAGACUCUGGGCUGAUGCAGAAGAGCCCAAAAGCAGCAGCCCAGAACUUAUUAUCCUUCUAGAAAGUAGACAAACCCAAAAAAAUACAAAGGCAAGUUGUGCGGUUUGAACAACGCCGGAGAGCUCCAAAUCCGGUCCUCAAGCCUCGCCGUCGCCUCCGCCAUCAGGUGGUGGGUGGAGAAAAUUUAGAGACAGUAGGAGAGAGGCAGGAAUGGGAAGAGAGAGGAAACAAGAAGGAGGAAGAGAAGAAGAAAUAUUUAUAAGGCUUUGGUUGUAAUUUUUUAAAAGAGUUAGGGCAUUUUAAUCUUAAAAAUUUUAUAUGCUAUUCUAUCAGCGAUUCCCCAUCCUUAGGAAUAAAAAACGGAAGCAAUAAGAGGAAAAAUGGCUGUAGAUAGGAAGCUGCAGACGGAAAGGAAAGAAUCUGGUUGAUCCGAUAUUCAAAAUGAACGGAAGUAAGCUAUAAGUCUUCAAAGAAGGUGAAAUGGUUAUGGAAACUUUGAAAUCAUUUUAAAUUUAUUUUUGUCGAAUACACAACUUAUUUUGAUAAAAACACCAUAAUUUUGAAUUAUUUGAAUUUUAGUGAAUUUUCUUACAAAUAAAUAUUUUUGACAAAUUCAAAGUAGCUAAUGGUUAUGAAAUUUUGAAAUUUCAAAAUUUUUGAAAAUUUAUUUUUAGUUAUUUUAAAAAAAUAUUUUUGACGAAUAUACAAUCUAUUUUGAUAGAAACUUCAUAAAUAUUUAAAUUUUAAUGAAGUCUUGUAUGAUAAAAUAUUUUUCAUAAAUUAUCUUUGAAUUGAUACAUUUAGAAAAUUUUGUUAAAAAUCUUCAAAAACUAAAUUUUAAUUUAGUAGUUGGAGUAUUUUCAUCAAAUCUCAUAUUUGUUACAAAAUUUGUAUCUCACUCUAUAAUGUUAUAAUUUUUGAAUAUUUUUAUGUUUUGUAAACUAUCAAAAAAAUCAUUUUAAUUUUAGAAAAUAUAUCAAAAUUAAUUUCGAUUAAUGAAAGAGGUUGCUAUAUCCUAUAUGUCUUAGAAUCAUUAGCUGGGAUUCGUAGUUUGUUUUGAUAAUUUGAUAGUGUUGGUUUUUAAUUUUGAAUAUUUCGGAUUAAUAAGCUUGAAGAGAAUUUUAAUGCUUUAGUCUUUGAUUUUUUAUUUUAACAAAUCAAAUAAGUGAUUUGAUAUCCAUCGCUGUUUUCACUUUUGAAAAAUUAACCUUAACGUGAAAUUGAAUAUAGUGGCUUUUGUGAUAUUUUUCUGUACAACCACCGACUGUCUUUCAUAUGCUUUUGACCCAUGUCACUUGAGUUAAUUAUGAUUUUGGUUUCAAUUUUGACUUAUGUCAUAGUGGUUAAGUAUGACCCUAGCAUAUUACAAGAAAUUACUAAAAUUGAUAAUAUUUGCAAAAUUAUGUAAAUUAUGAAGUGGAAUUAUAUUUACUUUUGUUAUUUGAAAAUAUAAUUUUGGAGAAAAUAUGUUUAUGAAUGAUAUUAACCAAAUUUUGUUUUGAUAUUUUUAUGAUUAUUGAUAAUUUUGGCCUAAAUGUUGUGAAGCAUGUUGUUGGUUACUUGCUGAGUGAUUGUACUCAUUACUUUUAUUUACAGAUUUCAGUAUUUUUCCAUCAUUGGAGAACUAGAUUUGUUUGGCAAGAUUUUGAUUAAUAAGAUUAACAUAUGCCUAUUUAUUUUGUAUAAGCUUCGAUGUGAGUAUUCGGUUUUAGUUUGUAAAGAAAUGUUAACUAAACGGAAUGCUAACAAAAUGAAAAUUUUGUAUUAUAUUGGAGACUUAAAAUUUUGUAAAUUGUAAAGAUACUUUUAGAAAUAUUAUAAAAGGAAUUCAAACCCUAUUCUUUCAAGUAAGAGAAUUAUAUACCAACUAAUAAGUUAAAAACUCAGGUGUUACAUUUGGUUUAGUAUGAUAUCUAUUGUCUUGCUUGCUUAUGGGAUUUGUCUUAUGAAUAUGUGACGUUGUUAUACUCUAAAAUUUUAGGUUUGAAGUGUGACAAUUUAGGUAUUAGAACUUAAGCUAAUGAUUCUGUGUAUUUCAAGUUUUUAUUUUAAUUGAUACUUAAUUAAUGGCUUUGGAAAUUAGUGAUGAAAAAAAAUAGUUUAUUUCGACAAAUAAUAAUGUUAUAUUUAUAAAUUGAAAUGAUUUUGGUAUAAAUUUUGAUAAAUUAAAUAUAUUAAACUCAAGUUAUUGUAAAGAAUGAUUUUGAUCUUUGAAAAUUUUAUGAAAUUAAAGGUAAAUUUUUUAUUUAUCGAGAUUUUUAGAAUACUUUUAUGAAUGUUAAGUGAAUUUUUUAUAAUGAUUUAAAUUACAUCAAAAUUGCCUGGAGAUGAUAUUUUAAACCCAACCCCUCCACUUCAUUGACUUAAUUCCCUGGUGAAAUAGACCCCAUCCCAGAUAUUUUAAUUCUUUGGGAACAAGGGAGCGAGAUUAGGGAUUGUAAAACCAGUUUCCCAAAGUUACUUUUUCCAUAAAAAUCAAAGUAAGAAUAAAGAUUGUUUAUUCCUCGGCAAUUUCUCUCUCUCAUUACUUUCUCGUUUCUGAAAUCUGUGCGUAAGAGAUCAUUAAGAAAUUAUAAAAGUGAAUGAUGGCUAUGUGAAUAAAAGAUUGUUCAUUGGAAGUUGUCUAUUUUUAAACGUACAUGAUGCUUACAGAAGCAAAAGGACUUCUUUUGCUUAAAUUUUGUCCAUUGAAGGAAAUCAGAUAAUACAACAAAUUAAAGUCAAGAAAAAAAAAGAAAAAAAAGGACAGCUUCUUGCAGCUCUGUUCCAUGGUUGAUGCCACCGGGAUGCCCCAGAACUCAGACCACAUAAAGUGACUUGAUUCAUUAUGGCUGCAUUGAUAUAAAUGUGUGUUAACCCAAAGAAAGCAUUUAUAGUUAUUCCAUCUCUGCAUAGGUGAAUGAAGUUCUAAUUCAAGGAAUCUUUAUUGAUAAUUCAAUAAAUUUCUUUGAGAUUCAAAAAUCAAAGCUUUUACUCUCUAUUAUGAUUUUUAUUUCGAUUCUAAUCUAUGUCGUAGUGGUUAAGUAUGAUCCUAGCAUAUUACAAGAAAUCAUUAAAAUUAGUAAUAUUUGUGAAAUUAUGUUAAUUAUAUUAUAUAAAGUGGAAUUAUAUUUACUUUUGUUAUCUAUAAAUAUAAUUUUGGAGAAAAUAUGUUUAUGAAUGAUAUUACCUAAAUUUUGUUUUGAUAUCUUUAUGAUUAUUGAUAAUUUUGACUUAAAUGUUGUGAAGUAUGUUGUUGGUUACUUGUUAAGUGGUUGUACUCAUUACUUUUAUUUACAAAUUUCAAUAUUUUUGCAUCAUUGGAGAACUAGAUUUGUUUGGCAAGAUUUUGAUUAACAAGAUUAGCAUAUGCCUAUUUAUUUUGUAUAAGCUUUGAUGUAAGUAUUCGGUUUUAGUUUGUAAAGAAAUGUUAACUAAACGGAUAUUCCAUCUCUGUACAGGUGAAUGAAGUUCUAAUUCAAGGAAAUUUAUUGAUAAUUCAACAAAUUUCCUUGAGAUUCAAAAAUCAAAGCUUUCACUCUCUAUUCUGAUUUUAUUCGAAACUACUUGAAUUAUAACGAGGUCAGAGCUACUUAACACAGGCUUUCAUACAACAAAAGAUGCAUUAAACAUAAAUAUAGUGAUAAGCGUUGUAACUGAAAAGACAAAUUACCAGCCAGUUGAGACUAUCUACCACCAUCGAUCCUCAGCUGGGAGAAAACUCCACUAGCUGUUGUGUCAGAACCAUCAUCCCUCACCAUAGGCACAUCAUCUUUCUCAAUUGGCAAGUUAUUUGAAGGCAAACGCUGAAAUGGACGUGAGGACAUGUUCAGAGAAGCAUCUAUUGUGCUGUCCUCGUGUGGCUCUCUCCGCACUUCAGUUUGCUGUAGUUGCAAUGUGUAUUCCAAGUCCCAGCAGAUAUCAAGCAUUGUAGGCCUGUCGACUCCAUUUGGCUUCAGACACUUCUCAACCAUUUCACUGAACUUUCUCAAUGAAUUAGGAUUAAUCUGGCCAGCCACUGAGGGAUCGAUAAUCUUUUCAAGUUCCCCUUUCUUUAACCAAAACAGUCCCCAUUCAGCUAAAUUUAUCUCCUCCUUCCUAUUUGAGUUAAUUAUAGCUGGUCUAGCACAAAGCACUUCAAGGAGUACCACGCCAAAAGAAUAAACAUCAGAUUUUUCUGUAAACUGAAGGCAUCUAAAAUACUCAGGAUCAAGAUAACCGAAGCUUCCUUUUAUUCCUGUGCUGAACUCAUCUGGACCAGGGAGACCUGAUUUGGAAAGGCCAAAAUCUGCAACUUUUGCCACAUAUUGUUCAUCAAGCAAGAUGUUUGUGGACUUAACAUCACGGUGAAUGAUGCCACCAGAUGCACCUUUGUGGAGGUAAUGAAGACCUCUUGCUGCACCAAUGCAAAUUUCAAGUCUUUGCUUCCAAGUCAAUAAAGAUAAUGCAGAUGAUCUCUCUGGAUUCCCACUCAAGUUGUAAAGAUGAUCUCUUAGAGUCCCCUUCUCCAUGAACUCAUAAACCAGUAUCAUCUCAGACCCUUCAUCACAAUAGCCAAUCAGAGAAACAAGAUGGCGAUGUCGAAUCUUGGAUAGAACCAUGACCUCAGUUUGGAAUUCUGGAAGGCCCUGGCCAUGUUUUGACUCGCUUCUUUUGACUGCCACUUUGAGACCAUUCCGAAGAGUUCCUUUAUAAACUUUACCGAAGCCUCCCUCUCCAACCAGCAAUUUAGCCUCAAAGUUAUUGGUUGCCUCUAUUAUUUCAGCAAAAGGCAUCUUUAGUUUGAGGUUUAAGUUCGGAACAGGAGGGGGAUUGACAGAUUUAGUGCUUAUUCCAACAAAAGGGCUCGCUCCUCCAAAAGGAAGGGUACCAUAUGAAGCCAUGGUUUCAAAAGGCUUUCUUUUUAUGCGUUUCUUACACAACAAGAAUACCACUAUCAAACUACAGAUAACAAAAACCCCAACAACUGAACCAGUUAUGAUAAACAGUACAGGCUUCUUUUUUGGCUCACUUCCCCCUAGUUCCAAGCCUGGUUCUGUGAUGAACUCCAUUAUUUCGAGCCCGUUCAGAUAGGCAAUUUUUUCCAAGAAUCCGUCCAAAGGGACAACACUGAUACUAAUAAAGUCAGAAUCACCUGAGUCAACCACAAAAUCAUAGCGGAAUGGAACUGCUGUCUGAACAGUAUAGUCGUAAGGAUUGAUUUUUUUACUGAAG